GAGAGAAUGAAGUGGAGCGAGACUUCUGCCGGAUAAAGAAGAAGACGAAGACUGAAGGCGAAGGUUGCACCUCGGCGAAGAGACUGCUCUUGCUUAUCUGAUCAAACACAUCAUGAAGUCUGACCAUGCCCUACUCGCGGAAGGACCGGAGCCACGCGAGAUCGAUGAACAUGGCUCGAACCAAGGUGACGUGACUUGCAGUUUGCCACCGCUCGUUGCAGUUGGAGGCCCGCCACAGUCGCCGCAUGUUAGUGACAGCGAGAGCCAAGGCUGCUUGAGUGAGCAGCCAGGCAACGACACGAGUUCACUACUGCCGGAAAACGCGCCGUCACCCGGACCAUCAGUGCAAGGCCAAGAGGUUCUGCCUGUGCCCCAGCGGUUGCCACGAGCAGCGGCGGUCCGAGUGAAUCAGAUCCUCUACCCUUGUGGCUCCCUCUCGCCGACGCUCCUGCUGGUCACGCUGCUCACCCUGACCGUCGUGCACCUCGUGUUGCUGAUGCAAGUCUGGCGCAUAAAGACUCUCGCGCAUGCGCACGCGCACUGACUGAACACACCGGGGAUGACUUCAACUACUAGCUUACGCGAACGUUGCCUGAGACGACGCGGUCGAUUCUCGCACGUGUGUCGUGGUGGCGAGAUAGCUGCAUGACGGCGGCGCCAGCGUUCGUCCGUGUCGUCAUCGGCUCGCUGGUGAUCUGACGAUGGGAAGUAAAAUUAGAACGGCGUAACUACGAACAGUUCAUGCUACACUUAGAAUACACCCUAUUGCUUUCCGUAAUUCUUGGUUACGAACUAACUGUCUGUAUUUUUUUUUAUGAUAAGGACUACACAGCAUUUCGGGAAUUAUAAAUAGCCAUUUGUUGAACAGGC